UGUGUUGUUGGCAUCAACUUCCUAUGGUUGGGCAAUGGCUUCCGCCUUCCGGACCAGCUGACGUCAGCGGUCUGGAUUUCUGCCAGUGUUCUCCUGCCCAGGAAAUGGACUUCCGGCCAGGGCUCCCAGCUGUCUCUGUCUUCCUGGAGCAGCAGACCUCUCAAGUUGCAGUGAGAGACUGAAAAUCAGAUCUCGGGGAAAGUUUCACCAUGGAGAAGGAGAGAGAGCAGCGGAAGACACUAUGGAGAGAAAGCUGGGCACAAGGGCAAAGCAGCUGUGGGAGGACGACUGUCUGGUGGUCCUAAGUGUGAAGCUUGGCCCCUUGCCUGAAAAGAAGGUCUCUGCCUACUAGACGAUCUGCUGAGAACACAAAGCUGCUUCUUGAAGCUGGGUGGUUGGCUUUCCUCACCCGACCAGACCCAGCUGGGAGGCACCAUUCUAGCUAUGCUGCAGGAGGAUCUGCA